rnacentral:rRNA from 1 species
UACGUAGGGUGCAAGCGUUGUCCGGAAUUAUUGGGCGUAAAGAGCUCGUAGGCGGUUUGUUGCGUCGGCUGUGAAAUCCCGAGGCUCAACCUCGGGUCUGCAGUCGAUACGAGCAAACUAGAGUGUUGCAGGGGAGACUGGAAUUCCUGGUGUAGCGGUGAAAUGCGCAGAUAUCAGGAGGAACACCGAUGGCGAAGGCAGGUCUCUGGGCCGAUACUGACGCUGAGGAGCGAAAGCGUGGGGAGCGAACAGG